GAAAACCUCCCCAAUGUGGAGAGUAAAAACCACGGGACCGUAGUCCACCCAAAAACUUCCACUAUCAACAAAUAAUGGGUAUACAAUCUGUUCUCUCUAGCCAAAACUAGAGGCAUAUAUCACCACAUAAUCUCAAGAACAAUAUUCUUGGCAAACAUCAAUUAUAAGAGAGAAAGAUUGAGAAGAUCUCACAUAAACAGCAGCCACGUUUCUGAAAAAUCUGACUGUGAUAGAAGACUGCAAAUGGCGAUCACACCAUACAGAUUGAAGAACCACGCGUUGCGAACCUGCUGUCCAAAUGUCAGCUCGAUCGGACCACGGAUCACCUCCCGAUCGUCGUUUGAUCAAGACUGCGUGCUGAAUAUCAAUUCUGCAUCUUCUCCCCUGCCUCCCUCUAUUUUUAAUUCGUGGAAGACGGCCCACAUACCCUGCAUUCUCAACAUAAAAGGUUGCCCUAAUGGGCCUCA
rnacentral:lncRNA from 1 species